GUUCCUGUAGUUGAGAACAACAAUGGUUUUUCAAGCCAUAGGUCUUGGUUAGAGUCCAAGUGGGAAUA
rnacentral:tRNA from 5 species